GAAGAGGCUGUCGGGAAAUGGCGGCCGCGGCCGGGCUGGGGCUUCAGCGGGAGGCAGCAGAGGGGAAGUGGUCAGCGUGGCGAAUGACGGAAGAAACUCGCAUUGUCUACUGGAUCAAGGACAGACAGCUCACCAACCGUGACAGCACCAUACUGGAACUUCAAAAAGUUCUGAAAACAUGUUGUGCUCAGAGCAUGAAAAUUUUCUGCUGUCUUUGGAACUUUGUCUACAAACAGUUAGAAGAUGCAGCCCAAGGGCUCACCAUGGGUGGCGAUGUUGAAGAACAUGAAGACCUUACUGCUGAUAGCACCAUCUUCAAAUUUGUGGAAGCUUAUUAGUUCGGUGUAGCACUGUUUGCGGCGAGGAGAAAGGAAGGAGAGGAGAAAACUGCACUGGAUCAAGGAGGUCUUCCCAUAGGCCUGCAGUAGGGCUGUUUACCAUUGGAAGCAAGGGAAAGAGGAGGAGAUCAAUCUAGAAGCAUGGAGAUCUGCCUGCAUGUCUGCUGCAGGGCUUAAGAUCACUGGAAGCAAAGAAACAAAGAGGAGAUUGCUCCUGAUCAGUAUAGACUGGUCCAGAGAUCUCAUGAAUUUAUGUAUCUACUUUAGGGUGUACUGCCAAGAGAAGCAAGAGGAGAGGAGGGAACUGCCUCGGAUCAUUACAGGUCCACCUCCAGAGGCAGCUGUAGUGGCCUUUGAGUGGCUGAAGACCAGCACCCUCACAGGCCUACACCCACAACUACCACUCUCUUUACCCCAGCCCGAGUGCGCUCUACCAUACCUUGUUCGUGCUUUUAGCAGGGGUGAUUACAUGGGCCGCAUUCAGGAAGUGGGCUGGGUGACUGCAGGACUGGUGAUCUGGGCUGGCACCUGCUACUACAUUUACAAAUUUACCAAGGGAAGAGCCCAGAGUGUGAGGACUCUUGCCAGAAAUGGAUCCACAGUUAAGAUGGAGACUGUGGUUGGGGUACAGAGCCAGACCUUGGCCAUAAAUGAAGCAGAGAUUAAGACUAAACCCCAAGUCGAGAUUGGAGCAGAAACUGGAGCAAGAAGUGGGCCUAGGGCUGAAGUAGAGACCAAGGCCACUGCUAUAGCCAUACACAGAGCCAACUCUCAGGCCAAGGCAAUGGUUGGGGCAGAGCCAGAGACUCAAUCUGAGUCCAAAGUGGUGGCUGGAACACUGGUCAUGACAGAGGCAGUGACUCUGACUGAGGUCAAGGCCAAAGCCAGGGAAGUGGCCAUGAAAGAAGCAGUGACCCAAACUGAUGCUGAGGCUGGCAAAAUAGUUAAGAAAGAAGCAGUGACACAGACCAAGGCUAAAGCUUGGGCGCUGGUUGCCAAGACAGAGGCCAAGAGAGAAGCAAUGACCCAGACCAAAGCUGAAACUCAUAUAUUGGCUGAAAAAGAGACAGAGAUUAACAGAGUAAUGGUUACACAGAGUGAGACCUUGGCAGUACCCAGGGAAGUGGCCAAGAUGGGGGCCACGAACAAGACUGGAAUUGUGGAUGAAACCAAGACAAGAGCUCUGGAAGAGACUGUGUUGAUCCCAAGAGCAUUCCCUAGUAAAAACGCUUCAUGCUGAACUCUAUCUCUGGGCCUGCUUCCUGGGAAGCCAACCUGCAACAGUUGGUACAAGAAGUGGUUCGAGAAAGCAAACACUGUGAUGAAAUUUUGGAGAUGAAUCACCUGCUACCCAGCUGUCAAUGAAGACUCCAUCAUUGGUGGUAGGUGGAGUAGAUAGGCCUCUGGAAUAAGGUAGCAGAGGAAUUGUUAAAAUUUUCAAUGGUGGUUAACUGGGUUGGCAUACUGGUAAAAUGGGACACAUUAACUGGUGCCAUGUAUCAGACCUUUGAGAAAUAUGGGAUAUAUUAAAUAUAAGGAAGGCCAGAAAAUUGGGCGGCUGUUGCUAAGCAGAUUGAGCUCUGGAAAAGAAUAACAAAAAGCUGAAUUAAAUUAAUCAACAAUUGAAAGCUAUGUUUGAAAGUCAGAUGGCUUUAUUCAUAACAUAUAAAGAGGCUCUCAUCUUUUCCAGGUAGAAGGUGGAGAAAUCUGAGGAGUAGACUCAGGAUUUGUUAAAAGCAAGCUUCAAAGAAAGUUAAAAUUCUAACCAAGACAAGUCUUCUAUGCCGAGUUAUGUGCCAUGGUUAAGAAGGAAUGGGACUCUGACACUUGGAAUGGGGGACAUCUGGAUUGAUGUCCCUAAAAAUCUUAUAUCCCCAGAUUCCCCUGAGCCCCUUGAGAAGUGUCCUACUCCUCCCUAUUAAGGGCUGGCACUCCAUCUUGCUUCAAUAUAUGGAAUCCUUUCCCCUGUAAGAUAACCUGGGUUUUCCUCAGAAUCUGCCCGCACCUCCUAUCCUGGCCACUGGGCCUAUAACUAGGGUUAAGCCACGCAUAAUCUAGCUGGUGAUGUGCUGGGUGUAAUAAGGAAAGAAAGAGAAUACACCAACAAAGAGUUUCGGGACAUAACCUAGCCAGCAUAUACUAGAAGGUGCUGAGGGAGUAAGUAUGGCAUCAAAUUCUAAGGAGCUUGAUCAGGAGGGCUGGAAUAUAAACUGGAAUAUGGGAGAAUUAAUCAAUUUGAAAGUGCUUUCCCAGAAUACAGGAUUUAAUACCCUGGAGAAAACCACAGGAAAUGACACGAACUCAUUACUGCGAUGGCUCCUCGAAGUAUGGAAAAAGCCAUGGCGUACAUAAAGUGAGGUGUAAAUGCCAGAGUUGCCAUAGAAGAUGGCGGGAAAAGGGAUCAAAGACUCAGAGAGACAUAAAGGAGAAGAUUUGGGAGAGGGAGAGGAUUAAUCCUGAUUUGAACUCUUCGAAUUUGAAGUGCUUAUGUACUAUGAUUUGAAUAUGGUUUAUCCCCAUCCAAAGUCAUGUUGAGGAUGGGUUCCCAAUGUGACAGUGUUGGGAGGUGGUACCCUUAAGAGGCAUUUGUGUCAUGGGGAAUCUCUCCUGAUGAGGGUAUGAAUGCAGUCUCUUUGGAGUGGGAGAGUUCUUGUGCUCAUGGGACUGGAUUAGUUACUGUGAGGAGGUUGGUUGUUAUAAAGUGAGUCUGCCUCUUGUGCUUGGUGUCUUUUGCGUGUACCUGUUUCCCCUUUUGUUUCUUUGCCAUGUUUUGAUGCCCUCAAAAGAAGUUGUCGGAUGUGACUGCCCAGUCUUGAACUUCCCAGCCCUCAAAACUAACAGAACAUAUCUUCCAGUAGCUUCCUGAGAAAGUGUAUAUGCAAAGCACACUUCUGAGAUCUUUCAGAUGGUUUUGCCACAUUGCCCAGGAUGGCCUUGAACUCCUGGGCUCAAGUGAUCCACUUGCCUUGGCCCCCCAAAGUGCUGGGAUUACAGGUUGCUAUGAAAAGAAAAAUCAUGAUAUUAAAUUUGUUGAAAGAUAUAAAUUUAUAAAUUCAAGAAGUUUCAUGAAUUCCAAAUGGAAUAAUCUCAAAGAAAACCACCUCUAGGCACAUCUUAUUGAACUGCUGAAAAUGAAAAGUAAAGAAAAAAUUUUAGACUGAUCAUUCCAAGAUGGCCAAAUAGGAACAGCUCCGGUCUACAGCUUCCAGUGUGAUCGUUGCAGAAGACGGGUGAUUUCUGCAUUUCCAACUGAGAUUUUAGCAUCGAUAUUAUGGAAGCUAUGCCUGGACUCAACAACACGAACUUCUACUCACCAAGGCUGAUCUUGUACUAAUACUAAGUGCCCAACCUGACAACAGAGAAGAUGAUGAGCCUUUAUAAGACACCAUUCCUUAGGGGCAUCAGCCAGUCCCAUGGUGUUAGGAUUAUUACAUGGGACACCUUUCAUCAUCAUGAAAACAGAAACUUUUCCUCAUGGAAAUGAAUAUGUAUUUUAGACACACAUUUACCUUCUUUGCUGACAAUGAUUCUGUCAUCACCAUCUCCAUGGACUUCCAGAAUGCCUUAAUCAUCAUCAGAGUAUCCUACACAAAGUUGUCUCUGACCAAGGAACUCAUUUAAUGGUAAGUGAAGUGCACAUCCAAAGAUUCACUAGUCUUUACUACUUACUUUACCAUGCAGAAGCAGCUUGCCUUACACAAAAAUAAAUAACUUACUGGAAGCUUAGUUAUGGGAUCAGCUGUUCCUGGGAGUACUGUACGACAAGAUUGCAAUAGAUGCUUUAACAGAGCCACCCAUAUAUGGUGCUUUUUUUCCCCAUAGUGAGGUUACACAGGACUAGGAAUAAAGAAGUCAUGAAAGCAGUGGCCCUUUUCACUAUUGCACCAGUUAACCUACUGAAGAAGUAUGUGAUUCUUUUUUUCUGUCUCCACAACCUUGGGCUCUUAGGUAUAUCAGGGAUGAAUGCUUUCACCAGGGAAUAAAGCCAUGGUUCCAUUAUAUUAAAAGCUGAGACUACAUUCUGGCCAUUUUUGUCCUCUCGUGCCACUGAACUGACAGGCAGGGAAAGGGGCUGCUAUAGUGGCUAGAGGGAUUGAGCCCAAUUACUAAGGGGAAAUAAGGUUGCUGAUAUACAAACAGGGAGAGCAAUGCUCAGAGCCCAGGGAUACUCACUGGGGCACCUCCUAGUACUGCUUUGCCUAAUAGUCCUGGGAAGUGGGAAAGUGCAGAAAUUCAAUAAAUACAGGAUUGAAGAUUAGGGUCACUACAUCAGGGAAAUAAUUUUGACCAGGUUUCUGUAAGGGGAAUAUGAAAUGGGUGGUAGAAGAAUGAAGUUGAUUAUUGACUUUGGCCUCAUGAUCAGCUUCAGUGGGAAACUGUAACAGCUAUGCACAUCUUUGUUAAUUUAUUUUUCUCUUCCUUUCCUCUGAUUAUAUGAAAAAUACUUGAGAUAAUUGUUAUAAAUCAGGUUUCAGGUGGGCGAAUAUGAUUGAAUUAGCAUUAUCCCGUGACAGUACGGUGGCUGAUGGGAUUUUUUUUGUCCCUGCCUCCCUGUUGGGAGAAUAGAAUAACAAGAAUAGAUGCUGAAUGUGAAAGGAGUGGGCCAUGGUGGUUAGUCUUUAUUUUCCCACACAUCCUGAUUCAUUUCCUGUCCUUCUCUGUCUUGUUCUAUGCCCUGGGCGGCUGAUCCUUAGGGACUGCAUCCCCCAGACUCCAUUUGUAAUUGACUUCUGCUUGGGUUUGGUCAAUGGAAUGCCCUGGCACAGCUUUGGAGGGAAGAAGAGAGAAGACAAUGUAUUUCUUCACUGCUCCCACUCUGAUUUGGGCUAUGUUUUAUUGGCAGGGACUGCAUCCCUUCAAGAUUUUAGCUUCUUCCAGAAGUCCCCUCCUCCAUGACUCUAGCUCUCACUAGGCUCCAGAAAUACUAUUUCUUCCUCUUGCCCUCUUAGGCCUAGGGUAACAGCUACCUGCUAUUGCUAACCUCUGGGUGCCACAAAAUUGCUUGUUGGGUCUCAUAAUCUUGCAUAUACCUCUGUAAGUAGUCCCUACAUUAAAGUCCCUUGAACCAUCUGAUUUAGAUUUUUUUACUGGCUAGGACUCUGACUGAGGUGCUGGUGUGAGGCCUAGAAUUACUGCAGCUAUUUUGAUACCAUUAGAAUGCACAGUCAAGGAUAAAGCUUUCAUGUAAGGAAGGGUAUAGCAGAGAAAAUUAUAGAAAAAUGAAGCAGAAUCUUAAUCAAAUUGUACUUAAAGUCAGAUAACUUCUGGAUGCAACUCACUGAAGUAAGAAUAGGUGGAUAUUUCUUAAAUAUGACAAAAAUAUAUACAUUUCUAACAAGAAGCCUUUCAUGUUUAAGGGAUAAACACUAGAAGCAUUUCCAUUAAAAUUAGGAAAAAGACAAGAAUGCCAGUUAUUUCCACAAUUAUUUAACAUUGUUCUAGAAGUACUAGUUAAUGCAGUCAACCAAGAGAAAGAAAUGUAAUAUUGAUAUUGGAAAGGAAGGGGCAGGCAAGAUUAUCAUUACCACAAAUGAAGCAAAUCUAAGAGAAUCAACUAAAGACUACUUGAAACCUUUGGAACUCCAUAAAAAGGCUGGUUAUGAAAUCAAUAGAAUAAAAACUGAUCACUUUCAUAUAUAAAAACAACAAACAAAAUGUAAAAUAAGAAAAAAAAUCUAAAUUACAAUAGCCAUGGGAAAAGAUAAGCUCCUUUUGAAUAAACUUAACAAAAAAAUCUGUAAGACAUAUCCAUUCAUUCAGUAAAUAUGGAUUGAUAACCUACAGUGUGCCAGGCAAUGUUCUAGGAGUUAUUUUUAUUUAAAAAAUUUAGAAACUGCUGAGAAAAAUAAAGACAAAUAAGUAGAAAAACUGGGUUGUUGGAUAGAAAGAUAUUCCUGUAAAGAUGCCAAUUAUCACUCAGUUAACUUAUAAAUUAUGUGCAACACAAAUUGAAAUUAAAAACGGUAGUUUUUAGGGGACUAUAACAAAAUAACAGAUUUUAGUCUCUAAAUAAAUACAUGUGAACAGGCAGGUAAUGAUAAAAAAGAUGAGUUAUGAGAGACCUUACCCUUCAGAUAUUGAAACAUAUUAUGAAGAUACUAUAGUUAAAACAGUUUGUUAUUUAAGAAGAAAGAAAAGAUAACAGAUUAAAAGAAUAUAAUAAAGAAUAAAGAAAUAGAUACAAACAUAUGUGGAUGUUUAGAUUAUGAUAAUUAUGGUAAAGAUGGCACUUUAUUUUUUAUUUUUUGGGUAUUAUACAUUUAAUUUAAAGACUUCGAAGUAAAAAAAAAAGGUACAGAAAUACAGAUUACAUUGUGAUGACCCCAGUAGUAUUCUACAUGACAAAAAUAAAAACAGAUUUAAGUAAAUGUAUCGGCACUGAACAAGCAUUUACUUAACAUCCAAUCCAGGCUGCAUAUGCACAAAAUGAUCUGACCACAUGCUUAUGCAAAGUAGUUUUUCUUAGAACGCCAAAAUUCCAACCAUUCUGACUGUCCGCUGCGCAUUCCCCUGUUGAGUAUUUUGAGCGAACUUCUAUAGAAUAUAAAAACAAUUGGCAUGGCACUUAAAGACUGCAAAAAACAGAACACAAUUAAAAACAUUUAUAAUGCAUUUCUGUAUAAAAUAUACACCAUAAAGACCACCCUGAAUAAUGGUUAAAACCUCAUCAUAGAAAAAUGCUCAUCAUUUUGCACAUUAUUGAUAGAAACUACUGAGAGGUUUUCUUGGGGGGCUGGUGGGAAGGUAGACACCCAACUUAAAGAUUCAUUCAAAAUUUGCUUUAAAUUGUGGGUAAUAACUCACUGCUUACCCCUCUCAAAAUGUUUUAUCAUGAAUACUCUAAUAUUUAACCACAGGACAAACAUAAAGAAUAACCUGAAGAAGGUGUUUCUCAAAGUGAAGUUGAAGGCUCCAAAAGAAGUCUAAGGUGGGCCCACUAGUGUGCAUUUUAAACAAACUUCCUAGGUGAUUAUUUCACAUUCCAAAAUCUGAGAACUAAUGCCCUGUGGGAAACAGCACCACUUAAAAGCAAGGCCAUAACAUAUUUCUGACAUGAGAUACAGAAUUCUAAGUUUAUGAUUUGAAGUGAAUACUGCUUUUUGUUUUAAAACAAGUUUCAGAUGUUAAGAGAAACAUAUUAAAUAAACAUGUGCAUGUAUAUAAACAUUUUCCUUUGAGGUUUUCAUUGCUUUCAGACUUAUGUUAUUUGAAGGAAAGAGAGUACACAGCUAGAAACUUUGGAAAAAUGACAUUUCCAAUGAAAUGUAGCAUCCACCCCUCCAAAAAAAGAUAAUUUAUUAAAUGCCUACAAAUUUUGAAACAUUUGAAAUUUAAACUAGGACACUUUCCUAAAAUUAAGUUUUACUAAGAUUAAAAAACUUUAAGUAAUUUAGAUGAUCAUGGUUACUUUUUAAGUCCCUUUUCAUUAAAAAAUAUUUAAAAUAAACAACAGAAGGAUGCUAUAUUUGGCACCCCCUUAAAUAAACUGCUAAACACUAAUAUUAAUAAAAAAUAAUCCAAGGAACUCUGCCUCUGAAAUGUAUUCUACUAUGUGUUACAUGUGUUAUCCAGUUAAUAAAAACUCACUGAAAGAGCUGA